AAGUGGUAAGGGACUGGCCAAAUGGUUUGCUCCAUUCACAUGGGUGGAGAUCGAACUCUCAACCUCAUGCUUAAGGGACGAGGAAAAAAAGGUAAAUUGU